rnacentral:rRNA from 1 species
GUGUCAGCCGCCGCGGUAAUACGGGGGGAACGAGCGUUGUUCGGAUUUACUGGGCGUAAAGGGCACGCAGGCGGGGAGACAAGUCAGAUGUGAAAACCCAUAGCUUAACUCUGGGCCUGCAUUUGAUACUGUUUCUCUUGAGUACGGGAGAGGAUGGCGGAAUUCUUGGUGUAGCGGUGAAAUGCGUAGAUAUCAAGAAGAACACCGGUGGCGAAGGCGGCCAUCUGGCCCGAUACUGACGCUCAUGUGCGAAGGCAAGGGGAGCAAACAGGAUUAGAAACCCCAGUAGUCC